rnacentral:rRNA from 1 species
ACUCCUACGGGAGGCAGCAGUGGGGAAUUUUGGACAAUGGGGGCAACCCUGAUCCAGCCAUGCCGCGUGCGGGAAGAAGGCCUUCGGGUUGUAAACCGCUUUUGUCAGGGAAGAAAUCUCUUGGGUUAAUACCCUGGGGGGAUGACGGUACCUGAAGAAUAAGCACCGGCUAACUCCGUGCCAGCAGCCGCGGUAAUAC